UGGGGAAUUUUGGACAAUGGGCGCAGGCCUGAUCCAGCAAUGCCGCGUGCAGGAUGAAGGCCUUCGGGUUGUAAAGCUCUGUGGAGGGGGACGAAUAAGUCGGAGCGAACAGCUCCGAUAAUGACGGUACCCUUUUAGCAAGCACCGGCUAACUCUGUGCCAGCAGCCGCGGUAAGACAGAGGGUGCAAACGUUGUUCGGAAUUACUGGGCGUAAAGCGCGUGUAGGCGGCUCUGAUAAGUGAGGUGUGAAAGCCCUGGGCUCAACCUGGGAAUUGCAGUGGAUACUGGAUCACUAGAGUGUGGUAGAGGGAAGCGGAAUUUCUGGUGUAGCAGUGAAAUGCGUAGAGAUCAGAAGGAACAUCCGUGGCGAAGGCAAUCCCCUGGACCUGUACUGACGCUCAUGCACGAAAGCGUGGGGAGCAAACA
rnacentral:rRNA from 1 species